rnacentral:lncRNA from 1 species
AACCUCAAGCAUAACAUCAAAUACCAAAGCUGCAUAAAGAAAAAACGGUCCCAAUCCCAUUAAACAUGAAACCACUCGCUCUAUGUUUUGUAUCCUCUUUCUUCAACCGCAGCAUUUCAUGAGAGCCUCAUGCAUAAAAGCUGAUCCCCAUGAUACACGUGAAGCUCAAAAUACGUUGACCUCGUUGACCAAAAGAAAAAAGCAGUGAAAC